GCGUAACGGUNGCGGACACGUUGUGGCACUUGCUUUAAUCUGGGGGAANAACUUUCCGAAAGGAGAUUAAUACCCCAUAAUAUGUUGAAUGGCAUCAUCGACAUUGAAAACUCCGGUGGGAUAGAAGAUUGGGCACGCGCCAAGAUUAGAUAGUUGGUGAGGGUAACGGGUUCACCAAGUCUACGAUCUUUAAGGGGGGCUGAAGAAGGGGUGAUCCCCCAAAACUGGGUUAACUGAGAACACGGGAACCAAGAUUCCUUAACGGGAAGGCAAGCAAGUUGGAAGGAAUUAUUUGGGCNCAAUGGGUUGAAGAAGCCUGAUCCAGCCAAUUCCCGCGUGAAAGGACGGAAUUGCCCUAUGGGGUUGUAAAACUUCUUUUGGUAUAGGGGAUAAAAACCUUAACCCUCGUGAAGGGUAAGCUGAAGGGUAACUAAUAACGGAAUUAAAGCACCGGGCUAACUUCCGGUGCCAAGCAGCCGCGGUAAAUACGGAAGGGUUGGCAAAGCCGUUUAAUCCGGGAUUUAUUGGGGUUUAAAGGGGUCCGUAAGGCGGGAUCUGUAAGUCCAGUGGGUUGAAAUCUCCACAGGCUUUAACCUGUUG
rnacentral:rRNA from 1 species